UACGUAGGCAGCGAGCGUUGUUCGGAAUACUGGGCGUAAAGCGUGCGCAGGCGGUUUUGUAAGCCAGGUGUGAAAUCCCCGGGCUUAACCUGGGAAUGGCAUUGGUGACUGCACGGCUAGAGUGUGUCAGAGGGGGGUAGAAUUCCACGUGUAGCAGUGAAAUGCGUAGAGAUGUGGAGGAAUACCGAUGGCGAAGGCAGCCCCCUGGGAUAACACUGACGCUCAUGCACGAAAGCGUGGGGAGCAAACAGG
rnacentral:rRNA from 1 species